rnacentral:tRNA from 1 species
GCGCCCGUAGCUCAGGUGGAUAGAGUCACGGACUACGAAUCCGGAGGUCGCAGGUUCGAAUCCUGCCGGGCGCGCCA